AAAAUCUUCUAGGAGCAGCUAACAAGAAUCCUAAUACAGGAGUGUUUAUGGUUGGGUUGAGACACAUUCAGUAGCUGAGUGAUUGACAGCAAGAGGAGCAAGACAUGAGGUUAAUAAUUAUCAAAUAUAUGGCAAUGCUGGACUUUAGCUGAUCAUCGUGCUUCUGGAAAACAACAAAAAUUGAGAUAUCUGUUCACCACUUUGUGUGUCCAAGGACCACCUACUUUUUACAUGUGACAAGAACUACCCACCUCCACUCUUCAGGAUAGAACAUGCUGAAGAAAAGAGUUGCAAUGAGAAAAUAUAUGGGAACAAAAUACCUAUGCAAUGCAGAAGUCUGCAUAACUGAACCACUCAGAGGAAAAAGAUUGCCAUUUCAGGACACCUCCUACAUCUGAGGAAAUAUGCAUUGAUCUUGCAGUACUUUUCUCCUCCAAAUAAAAGUCAGUAUGAUAACAACUACACUAUCAGAAGAUUAAUGUCCACAACGUGCACUGGCAUGUUCAUCACAGCAGUAUUCUCAAUAGUAAAGACAAAGAAUUGGCCAGGCGCGGUGGCUCACACCUGUAAUCCCAGCACUUUGGAAGGC
rnacentral:lncRNA from 1 species